ACGGCUCAGUAACACGUGGAUAACCUGCCCUUGGGACCGGCAUAACCCCGGGAAACUGGGGAUAAUUCCGGAUACUGCAUAUAUGCUGGAAUGCUUUAUGCAUAAAAUGGAUUCGUCUGCCCAAGGAUGGGUCUGCGGCCUAUCAGGUAGUAGUGGGUGUAAUGUACCUACUAGCCAACGACGGGUACGGGUUGUGAGAGCAAGAGCCCGGAGAUGGAUUCUGAGACAUGAAUCCAGGCCCUACGGGGCGCAGCAGGCGCGAAAACUUUACAAUGCGGGAAACCGUGAUAAGGGGACACCGAGUGCCAGCAUCAUAUGCUGGCUGUCCGGGUGUGUAAACUACACCUGUUAGCAAGGGCCGGGCAAGACCGGUGCCAGCCGCCGCGGUAACACCGGCGGCCCGAGUGGUGAUCGUGAUUAUUGGGUCUAAAGGGUCCGUAGCCGGUUUGGUCAGUCCUCCGGGAAAUCUGACGGCUUAACCGUUAGGCUUUCGGGGGAUACUGCCAGGCUUGGAACCGGGAGAGGUAAGAGGUACUACAGGGGUAGGAGUGAAAUCUUGUAAUCCCUGUGGGACCACCUGUGGCGAAGGCGUCUUACCAGAACGGGUUCGACGGUGAGGGACGAAAGCUGGGGGCACGAACCGGAUUAGAUACCCGGGUAGUCCCAGCCGUAAACGAUGCUCGCUAGGUGUCAGGCAUGGCGCGACCGUGUCUGGUGCCGCAGGGAAGCCGUGAAGCGAGCCACCUGGGAAGUACGGCCGCAAGGCUGAAACUUAAAGGAAUUGGCGGGGGAGCAC
rnacentral:rRNA from 1 species